ensembl:vault_RNA Vault Vault RNA
GGGUUGGCAUUGUAGCUCAGCAGUUCCUUCACGGGCUCUCUGAUUUAUCAGACUAAUCCUCUCGGGGGUUCAAAACCUGCGGGCGAUAUCCAGCCUUUUU